rnacentral:rRNA from 1 species
GACGAACGCUGGCGGCGUGCCUAAUACAUGCAAGUAGAACGCUGAAGAGAGGAGCUUGCUCUUCUUGGAUGAGUUGCGAACGGGUGAGUAACGCGUAGGUAACCUGCCUUGUAGCGGGGGGAAAACUAUUGGAAAGGUAGGCUAUACCCGAUAACCAUGGAUUGCACAAUUUAUUUUUUUUAAAGGGGCAAAUUGCUCACCUACAGAUGGACCUGCGUUGUAUUAGCUAGUAGGUGAGGUAAUGGCUCACCUAGGCGACGAUACAUAGCCGACCUGAGAGGGUGAUCGGCCACACUGGGACUGAGACACGGCCCAGACUCCUACGGGAGGCAGCAGUAGGGAAUCUUCGGCAAUGGGGGCAACCCUGACCGAGCAACGCCGCGUGAGUGAAGAAGGUUUUCGGAUCGUAAAGCUCUGUUGUAAGUCAAGAACGGGUGUGAGAGUGGAAAGUUCACACUGUGACGGUAGCUUACCAGAAAGGGACGGCUAACUACGU